rnacentral:rRNA from 1 species
AGAGUUUGAUCCUGGCUCAGGAUGGACGCUGGCGGCGUGCUUAACACAUGCAAGUCGAACGAAGCACCUUGAUUUGAUUCUUCGGAUGAAGAUCUUGGUGACUGAGUGGCGGACGGGUGAGUAACGCGUGGGUAACCUGCCUCAUACAGGGGGAUAACAGUUAGAAAUGACUGCUAAUACCGCAUAAGACCACAGCACCGCAUGGUGCAGGGGUAAAAACUCCGGUGGUAUGAGAUGGACCCGCGUCUGAUUAGGUAGUUGGUGGGGUAACGGCCUACCAAGCCGACGAUCAGUAGCCGACCUGAGAGGGUGACCGGCCACAUUGGGACUGAGACACGGCCCAAACUCCUACGGGAGGCAGCAGUGGGGAAUAUUGCACAAUGGGGGAAACCCUGAUGCAGCGACGCCGCGUGAGCGAUGAAGUAUUUCGGUAUGUAAAGCUCUAUCAGCAGGGAAGAAAAUGACGGUACCUGACUAAGAAGCACCGGCUAAAUACGUGCCAGCAGCCGCGGUAAUACGUAUGGUGCAAGCGUUAUCCGGAUUUACUGGGUGUAAAGGGAGCGUAGACGGAGUGGCAAGUCUGAUGUGAAAACCCGGGGCUCAACCCCGGGACUGCAUUGGAAACUGUCAAUCUAGAGUACCGGAGAGGUAAGCGGAAUUCCUAGUGUAGCGGUGAAAUGCGUAGAUAUUAGGAGGAACACCAGCGGCGAAGGCGGCUUACUGGACGGUAACUGACGUUGAGGCUCGAAAGCGUGGGGAGCAAACAGGAUUAGAUACCCUGGUAGUCCACGCCGUAAACGAU